rnacentral:rRNA from 1 species
AUGCAUUUUCAUGGCAGAGUGCCUCCUCAGCUAGGCAACCUCUCCAAACUAGUACAACUUGACAUGCACGCCAAUUAUGACACUGAUCUACACACAAAUGAUAUAUCUUGGCUAGCAUCUCUUGGCUUGCUAGAGCAUCUAAACAUGGGCGGGAUCAACCUCAGUGGAGUCAUUGACUGGGUCCAUAAGGUCAACGCCCUUCCCAAUUUGGUUGUGCUGGCUAUGUUUUCAUGUGGUCUUAUUAAGAGUAAUGUUUCAUGGUCACUUGUACACCAGAACCUUACAGUUCUUGAGGAGCUUGACCUCUCUUAUGACCCUUUCCAUGGGCCGUCCGCAUCCAACUGGUUUUGGGAUGUAACUAGCCUCAAAAGGCUACACUUACAGGGUUGUGAAUUAUCAGGCACGUUUCCUGACGAGUUGGGCAACUUGACCUUGUUGGAGACUUUUGACGUUCUAGGAAACAACAUCCAAGGAAUGAUACCUACAACCCUGAAAAAUAUGUGUAACUUACGGUCUCUUGAUCUCAGCUUCAACAACAUCGGCGGGGGCAUAACAGAGGUGAUAGAUAGGAUACCUAAUUGUUCUCGGAAAAAUUUGCAAGAAUUGGGUCUAAUGGAUGCCAACAUCACUGGCACAACAUUACAAUUUGUGACAAACCUGACUAGCUUAUACGUGCUUAAUGUCCAUGGCAACCAGUUGAGUGGUUCAGUGCCCGUGGAGAUUGGCACGCUUGCAAAUUUGACCUACUUAAACCUUGGAGACAACACCUUGAGCGGUGUGAUAUCAGAAGACCAUUUUGCUGGUUUGAUGAAUUUAGAGUCUCUUGACUUAUCCUAUAAUAAUUUGGAUGUUAUUGUGGACUCACAUUGGAUACCUCCGUUCAACUUGGAAUCGGCAUGGUUUUCAUCUUGUCAUUUAGGUCCCCAAUUUCCUAAAUGGCUUCGUUGGCAGAAAAGCACCAAGAUCCUUCAUAUUUCAAACACAUGCCUAGUUGGUAAGAUCCCAUAUUGGUUUUGGACUACCUUUUCUGAUGCUACAUAUUUGGACAUCUCCUUGAACCAUCUUAGCGGCAAUUUGCCACUCAAUCUUGAGUUCAGGUCAGUGAUUAAACUUUUAAUGCAGCCAAAUCUGCUAACUGGUUUGAUACCCAAGUUAUCAAGAACAAUUGAGAUAUUGGACAUAUCUAGAAAUUCUUUAAAUGGCUUUGUGCCAAAUUUCCAAGCUCCACAACUACGGGCGGCAGUUCCUUUUUCCAAUUCUAUAACUGGGACUAUUCCGAAAACAAUUUGUCGAAUGCAAAAAUUGCGGGUUUUGGAUCUUUCGAACAAUCUGCUUUCAAAGGAACUUCCUGAUUGUGGUAUAAAAGAGCUAAAACAAGGGAACCCGUCUAGCAACAACUCUUCAAAAGUCAGAUCUCUGAGAUAUUUCAGUUUGAGGAUCACUAGUUUCCUUCUAAGCAACAACCAUUUUUCAAGUGGAUUUCCUUUGUUCCUACGACAAUGUCCAAGGCUGGUUUUCCUCGAUCUAACUCAAAACAAAUUCACUGGAGAGUUACCCGGAUGGAUUAGUGAAGCCAUGCCUAGUUUGGUUAUGCUACGGUUAAGAUCAAACAAAUUUUCAGGUCACAUUCCAGUUGAAAUAAUGGGACUUCAAGAUGUUCGUAUCCUGGAUCUGUCCAAUAAUAACUUUUCUGGGGCCAUACCAAAAUGUUUAGAAAAAUUGAAAGCUUUGACUCACACAGCUACUUCUAAUAAUACAUCAUUUGAUAAUCUUUUUGAUGAAGGAUAUCGUAGCUCUACAUCCAUGUCCUUUAGUUUGUCUAAUGAUAGCUUCUUGGUGGUGAUAAAAGGGCAGCUGCUUGAGUACAGGGAGAAUACUCUAUACUUGAUGAGCAUUGAUUUAUCUUGCAAUAGUUUAAUCGGAGAAAUCCCGGAGGACCUUACCUCCCUCGUUGGACUCAUAAAUUUGAAUUUAUCAUCAAACUUGUUGAGUGGAAAUAUUCCAUAUAAGAUUGGCAACCUUCGCUCACUGGAGUCUCUUGAUCUCUCAAAGAACAAACUUGCUGGUGAAAUUCCGGAAGGCUUAUCAGAUUUGACAUACUUGAGCUGUCUCAAUUUGUCAUACAAUAAUCUGUCAGGAAGAAUACCUUCAGGGCAUCAACUCGACAUCCUCGAGACAAAUGAUCCAGCUUCCAUGUACAUUGGUAAUCCUGGUCUUUGUGGACUUCCAGUUUCAAGGCAAUGCCCACGUCCUCCUAGAGACCCACCCAGCAAUGGAGAUUCAGCAAGAUGGUUUGAAUAUGGCUCGUCUCAAAUGGAUUUUCUUAUAGGAUUAAUUGUUGGUUUUGUGGUGGGUGCUUGGAUGGUAUUUUGCGGGCUUCUAUUCAUGAAGAGAUGGAGGUAUACUUAUUUUGGGGUAUUCGACAAGCUAUAUGACAGAUUGUAUGUCAUUUCUGUUGUUACUCGCCAAAAAAGGUUCGGGAACACGGGCUAA